GUAGAAUGGCAUGUAUAGGGUUGUAUGAGUUUUUGAGCAAAUGUUAGGUUUUAUGUGAUUUAUGAACAAUGUGGCAUGUUUGAGUAUGCUUGAAGUGUUGUAGUUGGGGUAUUUGAUGUUUUGAGGCCCCUAGGAUCUUGUAUGCAUAUUUUAAGUGAGGUAUAUGCAUGAUUGGUGAGUUUGGAGGCAAAAAUGCACAAAGGAACCGAGUUUCUGCCCUUUGGCAGAAACCAGGUUCGGCAGCCGAAGGCACUUUCGGCCGCCGAACAUGGCUGGGGAGGCAGGCCUUUCGGCUGCCGAAGUUGCCCCCGAAAAGAGACUUUCGUCUCUGUCUGGGACUUUCGGCCGCCGAAGGUGCCGCCGAACCUACCUGAGUUUCUUCUCUGUCCAGGACUUUCGGCCGCCGAAGGUGCCGCCGAAAGUGCCCUGUUCAGCCACUUCAUGCAUAUCUCUAUGUGAUUUUUUCA
rnacentral:lncRNA from 1 species